GCUGGCACAAUGAUGAUAACUCUUUGCCGUUUACCCAACUGAAAUGUGUGAUGAGCAGUGUUGUAUCUGAGGUGCCAGC
ensembl:snoRNA